rnacentral:miRNA from 1 species
AGGCGUGGUGGCGGGCGCCUGUGAUCCCAGCUACUCAGGAGGCUGAGGCAGGAGAAUUGCUUGUACCCAGGAGGCAGAGGUUGCAGUGA